rnacentral:rRNA from 1 species
AGUGAACGCUGGCGGUAGGCCUAACACAUGCAAGUCGAACGGCAGCACAGGAAAGCUUGCUCUCUGGGUGGCGAGUGGCGGACGGGUGAGGAAUACAUCGGAAUCUACUCUGUCGUGGGGGAUAACGUAGGGAAACUUACGCUAAUACCGCAUACGACCUACGGGUGAAAGCAGGGGACCUUCGGGCCUUGCGCGAUUGAAUGAGCCGAUGUCGGAUUAGCUAGUUGGCGGGGUAAAGGCCCACCAAGGCGACGAUCCGUAGCUGGUCUGAGAGGAUGAUCAGCCACACUGGAACUAGGACACUGUCCAGACUCCUACGGGAGGCAGCAGUAGGGAAUAUUGGACAAUGGGCGCAAGCCUGAUCCAGCCAUACCGCGUGGGUGAAGAAGGCCUUCGGGUUGUAAAGCCCUUUUGUUGGGAAAGAAAUCCAGCUGGCUAAUACCCGGUUGGGAUGACGGUACCCAAAGAAUAAGCACCGGCUAACUUCGUGCCAGCCGCCGCUGUAA